ensembl:lincRNA
ACACCAACUUGUUUCAAGUAGCGCAACAGCUCUGGGAAAUCAGUUCAAUUUAGCCAUGCCUAGCUGGAGCUUCUCCACAAAGAAAGAGACCUCCUUAAUACCAGCUUAGGAAGCACUCCCGCCUUCCUGUCAACCACAGUUCUGUCUCUAUUUGAGCACACCUCAAGGCAUUUAAAGUCUUCUCCUUACGGCAGCCAGCUGCGAUGCAUUUAAGCACCUGAUUACAAGGGUGCUCUUGCUAAAAGGAGCAAUGACAAAGAGAGACUUCCAGUGCAGACUUUGUUAAGAUGCUGCAAUCUAAUUGUGGGAAAGACACUUGCUCCUGAGCAGAUUCGAGCUUGGGGAUGUGUUGCUGUCACACCAACGAGUCUGCGGUGAGUUUCAAAGAACACAUUAUACUGACUAGUUGACGACUUAAAUUUACUCUCUCACUUCCAGCGUUCACUGCGAACGCUCACACACUCAAGCAGUUUGGCCGUGUUUAAAACCACAUCUGGCAGCGUUGGGAUUCGAACCCACGCCCCAGAAGAGACUGGAGCCUAAAUCCAGCGC